rnacentral:rRNA from 1 species
AUUGAACGCUGGCGGCAUGCCUUACACAUGCAAGUCGAACGGUAACGGGCCUUCGGGUGCCGACGAGUGGCGAACGGGUGAGUAAUACAUCGGAACGUGCCCGAUCGUGGGGGAUAACGAGGCGAAAGCUUUGCUAAUACCGCAUACGAUCUACGGAUGAAAGCAGGGGACCGCAAGGCCUUGCGCGGACGGAGCGGCCGAUGGCAGAUUAGGUAGUUGGUGGGAUAAAAGCUUACCAAGCCGACGAUCUGUAGCUGGUCUGAGAGGAUGAUCAGCCACACUGGGCCGGGAAACCGGCCCAGCUCCCACCGGGGGGCAGGAGGGGGGAAUUUUGGACAAUGGGCGCAAGCCUGACCCAGCCAGGCCGCGUGCAGGAUGAAGGCCUUCGGGUUGUAAACUGCUUUUGUAGGGAACAAAAAGCCUUUUUUUAAUACAGGGGGGUCAGGACGGUACCGAAAAAAUAAGCACCGGCUAACUACGG